rnacentral:rRNA from 1 species
UACGUAGGGUGCGAGCGUUGUCCGGAAUUAUUGGGCGUAAAGAGCUCGUAGGCGGUUUGUUGCGUCGGCCGUGAAAACCUGCAGCUUAACUGUGGGCCUGCGGCCGAUACGGGCAGACUUGAGUUCGGUAGGGGAGACUGGAAUUCCUGGUGUAGCGGUGAAAUGCGCAGAUAUCGGGAGGAACACCAGUGGCGAAGGCGGCUCUCUGGGGUAUUUCUGACGCUGAGGCACGAAAGCCAGGGGAGCGAACGGG